rnacentral:rRNA from 1 species
GAUGAACGCUGGCGGCGUGCCUAAUACAUGCAAGUCGAGCGAACGGACGAGAAGCUUGCUUCUCUGAUGUUAGCGGCGGACGGGUGAGUAACACGUGGAUAACCUACCUAUAAGACUGGGAUAACUUCGGGAAACCGGAGCUAAUACCGGAUAAUAUUUUGAACCGCAUGGUUCAAAAGUGAAAGACGGUCUUGCUGUCACUUAUAGAUGGAUCCGCGCUGCAUUAGCUAGUUGGUAAGGUAACGGCUUACCAAGGCAACGAUGCAUAGCCGACCUGAGAGGGUGAUCGGCCACACUGGAACUGAGACACGGUCCAGACUCCUACGGGAGGCAGCAGUAGGGAAUCUUCCGCAAUGGGCGAAAGCCUGACGGAGCAACGCCGCGUGAGUGAUGAAGGUCUUCGGAUCGUAAAACUCUGUUAUUAGGGAAGAACAUAUGUGUAAGUAACUGUGCACGUCUUGACGGUACCUAAUCAGAAAGCCACGGCUAACUACGUGCCAGCAGCCGCGGUAAUACGUAGGUGGCAAGCGUUAUCCGGAAUUAUUGGGCGUAAAGCGCGCGUAGGCGGUUUUUUAAGUCUGAUGUGAAAGCCCACGGCUCAACCGUGGAGGGUCAUUGGAAACUGGAAAACUUGAGUGCAGAAGAGGAAAGUGGAAUUCCAUGUGUAGCGGUGAAAUGCGCAGAGAUAUGGAGGAACACCAGUGGCGAAGGCGACUUUCUGGUCUGUAACUGACGCUGAUGUGCGAAAGCGUGGGGAUCAAACAGGAUUAGAUACCCUGGUAGUCCACGCCGUAAACGAUGAGUGCUAAGUGUUAGGGGGUUUCCGCCCCUUAGUGCUGCAGCUAACGCAUUAAGCACUCCGCCUGGGGAGUACGACCGCAAGGUUGAAACUCAAAGGAAUUGACGGGGACCCGCACAAGCGGUGGAGCAUGUGGUUUAAUUCGAAGCAACGCGAAGAACCUUACCAAAUCUUGACAUCCUUUGACAACUCUAGAGAUAGAGCUUUCCCCUUCGGGGGACAAAGUGACAGGUGGUGCAUGGUUGUCGUCAGCUCGUGUCGUGAGAUGUUGGGUUAAGUCCCGCAACGAGCGCAACCCUUAAGCUUAGUUGCCAUCAUUAAGUUGGGCACUCUAAGUUGACUGCCGGUGACAAACCGGAGGAAGGUGGGGAUGACGUCAAAUCAUCAUGCCCCUUAUGAUUUGGGCUACACACGUGCUACAAUGGACAAUACAAAGGGCAGCGAAACCGCGAGGUCAAGCAAAUCCCAUAAAGUUGUUCUCAGUUCGGAUUGUAGUCUGCAACUCGACUACAUGAAGCUGGAAUCGCUAGUAAUCGUAGAUCAGCAUGCUACGGUGAAUACGUUCCCGGGUCU